AGAUGGAACCCAUGUGGCUAUAGUACGUCCUGCUGAAAACGAAGAGAGAUUUGUGACUCUGAUUUAAAUAUACUAAGUGUGGAUGCAUCAUUUGGAGGAGCAUCCCAUGACAGUUUUAUCUGGAACCAGCAUCCAGUGAAAGAUCACCUUAUGCAAUUGAUUAAUGCUGGUGAAUUUGCAAUUUUACUUGGAGAUUCUGGGUAUGCACAAAGGGAAUAUU